rnacentral:lncRNA from 1 species
AGCUAAAAAUAAAUUAUAUCUCAAAGGCUGGAAGGCAAUUCUUCUUCAGUUUCUUUUCGGGGCCAGCACUGGAUGAGAGCCUACUAUAUUGCAGAACCAUCCUUAUCUUAUCUUGUAAAGAUAUUCUGAUCUUUCAAUGUUUCAUUCACGUGACACCAUCUUCUACCAUCCAAUUUCUGGCUUGGUUGACUGACGUGAAU